AUGUAGAGUCAGUGACGCCUGUGGAUGAUAGGGAAUGUAGAAUGUCAUCAGAUACCUGACUGUUGGCCCAUUGUUGGGAAGCCUUUGUGACAAAAUGCCCACAAUUUUCAGACUGUAGAUGGUCCAGAAAGCCAAAAUCAUGGCGUAGCUUAUUUUCAUAGGCUACAAUGAUGUGGCCAGAAUUAGCAGAUUAGACAGGAACAGCAACAAUAUAACUAGAAAAAUGUGUCACCAAGAGUGAAGCAUCAACAGUCACCCUGAGAGGAGGCUCUCAAUCCAGAGUGGUCAAUCUGUUAGCAGCGGGCAGGGUCAGUGCCCGAUAUGAGGCGGCCUCCUUCACCACGAGACCAGCUGGCCAACUUUUGGCAGAAGUCACAAGGGUGGCGUGUCCCGAGGAUCUUCUCUCACUCUGGCCAGUCUGUUGUGCGAAUGUGUUGCUAUGUGCCAUGACAGGCUGGGCAGUGCACCUUCCUCAGCAGCUUGAUCCCAGUCGGUCUUGUCAGAGAGUGGACCUUACCACGGGCAUGUACUUAGACAGUCCAUCAACUAUGGUUUGUUUCCUCAGUUUGUGGCACCAAAGAGGGGCGUCUUUAAUGUACUACUCUGUAGUCCUUCAAUUGGCAAGGGCCCGGGAGCUCAAAAAUGCAACACGGUUCAUCAGGUGGAGUGUUAGAGCUAUGGGAACAGCCUUUCCCGCCUUUGGUUCAGCAUGGCCGUGCUGAAGUUGAAGAGCAGUAGGUGUGAGUGGGCGUCAGGUUCUACCUUCACCAAACCACCAGCGGAUCAGGCCUGCACAUAUGGAGGAGCCUCUGGGCCCCUUGUCCUUUCUCUUCCAGAAAUCCAUUUCUCUGUUAGAUUCCUGUCCUCAUCACCAAUACUGUCAAAAACUACAAAGUGCCUAGGCUGUUAUCCUACUUGCAAGAUAAUGGGGAAGACAAUUACUAUUUAUGCUGACAUAAGACACAAGCCUCCUGGGUCAGAGACAAAUGAUUUGAUUACUCACAGCAGCAGCAGGUGCCAGCGUGUCAGCAUGGUGCUUUCAGGGCAUCCCCAUACACCCUGCCCCAUCAUCAUCGUGGGGUGAUACAAAGUGUCCAUGCGAAUAUCUGCACAGUGAAUUAUGUUACAGGAGAAGAACCCUGAAUUUGAAGGAUUCACUGAUCUUAUAUUGAGCAGAGAUAAGCCUUUUCUGUGUGCAGUGGUGGAUGUCACCUCAGCCGCCAAGGAUCCUCCCUGUAAACACGCCUGUGGGAAAUGGCAUAUGUAAAGAGCAACUUCACCUCUGCAUUCAGGGCACACCCAGCAAGAACAUGCACGGGCUCCCAGGGACCACAGGGGUGCCUCUCCCGGCAUAUACUGAAUGAUUUUAAGCCUGUGAAAUAUUUUGAAGCUUGCCAUGUGACCUAGCAUGGGGUCAAUAUGAGUAAAUAAAAUUUGACGUACAAAAUAAUGUGAAAUCUUCUGCUGAUGGAUAAGAAGAAAGUCUGUGCUGCUUUGCACAAGUUGAUGUCCCCGUUUUGCAGUUGCUAUCUUGCAGAGAAACUCCUAUGUUUGCAGCAAGACCCUCUGAAAAAUGUUCCAGCACCAAGCAUCCUAAAGUUACCUUUAGCUCAUUAGCAUCUUAAAUUCUCCUCUGGGAGGGUCCUAGCAGCCAUUGUC
rnacentral:lncRNA from 1 species